rnacentral:rRNA from 1 species
GUCACACCCGUUCCCAUCCCGAACACGGAAGUUAAGCCUCUCUGGGCCAAUGGUACUGCACGGGCAGCUGUGUGGGAGAGUAGGUCGCCGCCGGGA